rnacentral:rRNA from 1 species
GCGUAGGGUAUGUAGGCUGUGAAAAACAGAGUAAAUGAAAGACUGGGUAAUAAUCCUUUAUGUUUGCUCAUUGAUUUCACUUGAAUCUUAGAAGGACGAUGGUAUUUAUUAGGAAUGGUUAAAUAUGAGAUAAGUAAAGGACCGACAGUGGUGAAAACAAUCUUCCGAUCAAGUAUUGAGCUAAGGUACGAAGGCAGGGGAGCAAAGCGGAUUAGACACCCGCGUAGUCCGUGCUGUAACGCUGAGUUUUCAAUAUAGGAAUCUGUCUUUAUGAAAAGAGAUCCUUUUCUGAAAGCAAUUAAAUUUGCAUAAGAAAGAAAUUCUUGGUGUUCUAGUAACGCAUUAAAUUCUCCGCUGGGAAGUACGGCCGCAGGUUGAAACUCAAAAGAAUUGAGGUGACUUGUACGAGG